AGGCAGUCAAAUAUCGCUCAGACAUCCAAGGAAGGUAUUUGGGCCAUCUUUGGUCUUUCAACCUCUGGUGGAAACUACGAAUGGCAGGAAUCAUCUACAUCACAGCGAAGCUGCACUUCAUGCGGUCAUCACUGGAAUAACUGAACUCACCCCAAUAAUCGUUCCAUCACAUCAGGAGUGACAUCUCCAUUUCUCGAUGAAACAGUUGAGCACUCAGAACUGAACGAAAAAGAGAAUACAACAGGGAAAAAUAAGCACAAGUUUCUCCAUUGGUGAAGCAUAUUAUGUAGGCAGUCAAAUAUCGCUCAGACAUCCAAGGAAGGUAUUUGGGCCAUCUUUGGUCUUUCAACCUCUGGUGGAAACUACGAAUGGCAGGAAAUCAUCUUCAUCACAGCGAGGCAUACAAGUAGACCCACUCGAAUUAUAAAUACACACCUCACAGAUUAAGAUCUGAUGGCCAUUGGACUCCAUCUGGUUGCCAUGGAGCCGACUCAACAUGGCAUGUCUUUCCAGGUGGUACUUUGUUUAUGCGGUGAUGACAACCCGCAAAACCGAUGCACUGUGGAGAAAGAAACAUGAUGAAACUUCUCAAAGGAAAAGAUGUCCGACUAGCAGCAGAAUUUCGCUCAGACAUCCAAGGAAGGUAUUUGGGCCAUCUUUGGUCUUUCAACCUCUGGUGGAAACUACGAAUGGCAGGAAUCAUCUACAUCACAGCGAAGCUGCACUUCAUGCGGUCACCACUGGAAUAAUUAAACUCACCCCAAUGAUUGUUCCAUCACAUCAGGAGUGACAUCUCCAUUUCUAGAUGAAACAGUUGAGCACUCAGAACCAAACCUGAACGAAAAAGAGAAUACAACAGGGAAAAAUAAGCAAAGUUUCUCCAUUGGCGAAGCAU
ensembl:lncRNA